rnacentral:lncRNA from 1 species
GUUUUUUUAAAUCACUUUUAAUAUUUCAUAUUCAGAAUAAUUUCAUAGGUUGAAAUUAGUGGGGCAAGUUCUCAAGGUGAAAAUCUGAAGGUGAAUUCUACUUUUAGAAAAAUAAUACAAUAGUUUCACUAUCAGGUAAGUUGGUAUAUUUGAAAUGUGUUUUCCUAUACAUUUAUGAGAGCAAACAGAAAGGUCUUUUACUCCAAAUUAUAGGUAAAUGCAUGACAUUUUGUAAGUUUUAAAAUGAUUAGAGUUUCCAGUCAUCGAAGGUUUUAUGCCAUUACUGACAAACUAACCCCGUAUGCAAAAAUGGCAAGCCUGGUCUUGUUCUUUAUAAACAUAAGGAUGUUUGAUUUCCUAGUACCUGUUAGAAUCAGUUUGAUAAACCUUGCCAAGGUUUAGGCCAGAUUCAUCAAUGUCAGACUGUUCACAGAUGAAUUAUCUGAAGAUGUUACUGAUUUAUUUUGAACUUUUAUACCUAGUUUGGUGAGCUUCCUUUUAAUGCUAUGUUCAGUUUGAAAUUCCAAAAUAACCUUGGCUUAAUUAUAAUUAGCUGGGUAUGUCAUAAAAAUGUUUAGCUUUUUUUUUUUGGGGGGG